UACGGAGGAGGCAAGCGUUAUCCGGAAUUAUUGGGCGUAAAGCGUCCGUAGGGGGCUCGUCAAGUCUGCGGUCAAAGACCGGAGCUCAACUCCGGGCCGGCCGUGGAAACUGAAGAGCUAGAGUGCGGUAGGGGUAGAGGGAAUUCCCAGUGUAGCGGUUAAAUGCGUAGAGAUUGGGAAGAACACCGGUGGCGAAAGCGCUCUACUGGGCCGAAACUGACCCUGAGGGACGAAAGCUAGGGGAGCGAAUGGG
rnacentral:rRNA from 1 species